rnacentral:pre_miRNA from 1 species
CACACAUAAGAUUUUGAGGCAGGCGUUGGCCUGCUGGCCGGUGGCGAGCUCGCGAUCUUGAUUGAGAGCUCUCGCUCUCUCUCUCUCUCUCUCUCUCUCUCCUCGCAUCGCCUCGCCUCGCCGUCCAGCAGGCCAAUACCUCACUCGAGAUCUUGUUGGA